UAGAAAUAUAUAAUUUGAAAAGACAAAAUAGUAAUUUUAUAAAGAUAACAGCUAUUGUUAAUAAUUCACACUACUACAGAAUUAGGUUAUAGGGACACAUGUUUAGGACACUUUUGUGUAAAUGUCACAUUUAUGCCAAAACUUAAAAAAAUACGUACUAAUGCCUAAAUAUAAAGUCUAAUCCAACCAAAAAUAAAAGGGUACUCUACUCAACCCACCCCACCCAGCUCAUUUGGCCUGAUUAUAAACAAAAAACAAGAAAGAAAAGAAAAAAAAAAAGAAAAAUCGAUUACCAUUUCCCCUUCUCCCCUCACUCAAUCAACUGAAAUCCUAGACGAAGAUCCCUUCCUCUCGUCCUCCUCCGCCACCGCAGCCAACGAGAUAGAGUUCCGGCGGUUGUUAGAUGCUUAAAUAAAUAUUGGUAAAUUAGCAGCACUCUUUUAGAUUAUAGCGACACUCUUUAACUGUCACUAUAUACCUAGCGACCCCACAUAUAACAAUAUUUUUUAAAAAUGUUGGUAAUUUAGCCAGCAGUACUUUUUUUAACUUAUACCAAUAUUUAAAAGUGUCGCUAUAGACCGUUUUUGUUGUAGUGUCAUUAAUAAAAUUUAACUUUAGGGAUAUAUUUGAAAUAGGUUAGAAUGUAAAAAAGACCUUCUAAGAAGAAUAAAUCAAAAGUUGAGAACUUUUUUGGGGUAUAUAAGUAAUUGCCCUAUAUAUAUAUAUAUAUAUAGAGAGAGAGAGAGAGAGAGAGAGAGAGAGAGAGAGAGAGAGAGA
rnacentral:lncRNA from 1 species